GGGACACGUGGUAUCCUGUCUGAAUAUGGGGGGACCAUCCUCCAAGGCUAAAUACUCCUGACUGACCGAUAGUGAACCAGUACCGUGAGGGAAAGGCGAAAAGAACCCCGGCGAGGGGAGUGAAAAAGAACCUGAAACCGUGUACGUACAAGCAGUGGGAGCACGCUUAGGCGUGUGACUGCGUACCUUUUGUAUAAUGGGUCAGCGACUUAUAUUCUGUAGCAAGGUUAACCGAAUAGGGGAGCCGAAGGGAAACCGAGUCUUAACUGGGCGUUAAGUUGCAGGGUAUAGACCCGAAACCCGGUGAUCUAGCCAUGGGCAGGUUGAAGGUUGGGUAACACUAACUGGAGGACCGAACCGACUAAUGUUGAAAAAUUAGCGGAUGACUUGUGGCUGGGGGUGAAAGGCCAAUCAAACCGGGAGAUAGCUGGUUCUCCCCGAAAGCUAUUUAGGUAGCGCCUCGUGAAUUCAUCUCCGGGGGUAGAGCACUGUUUCGGCAAGGGGGUCAUCCCGACUUACCAACCCGAUGCAAACUGCGAAUACCGGAGAAUGUUAUCACGGGAGACACACGGCGGGUGCUAACGUCCGUCGUGAAGAGGGAAACAACCCAGACCGCCAGCUAAGGUCCCAAAGUCAUGGUUAAGUGGGAAACGAUGUGGGAAGGCCCAGACAGCCAGGAUGUUGGCUUAGAAGCAGCCAUCAUUUAAAGAAAGCGUAAUAGCUCACUGGUCGAGUCGGCCUGCGCGGAAGAUGUAACGGGGCUAAACCAUGCACCGAAGCUGCGGCAGCGACGCUGAUGCGUUGUUGGGUAGGGGAGCGUUCUGUAAGCCUGCGAAGGUGUGCUGUGAGGCAUGCUGGAGGUAUCAGAAGUGCGAAUGCUGACAUAAGUAACGAUAAAGCGGGUGAAAAGCCCGCUCGCCGGAAGACCAAGGGUUCCUGUCCAACGUUAAUCGGGGCAGGGUGAGUCGACCCCUAAGGCGAGGCCGAAAGGCGUAGUCGAUGGGAAACAGGUUAAUAUUCCUGUACUUGGUGUUACUGCGAAGGGGGGACGGAGAAGGCUAUGUUGGCCGGGCGACGGUUGUCCCGGUUUAAGCGUGUAGGCUGGUUUUCCAGGCAAAUCCGGAAAAUCAAGGCUGAGGCGUGAUGACGAGGCACUACGGUGCUGAAGCAACAAAUGCCCUGCUUCCAGGAAAAGCCUCUAAGCAUCAGGUAACAUCAAAUCGUACCCCAAACCGACACAGGUGGUCAGGUAGAGAAUACCAAGGCGCUUGAGAGAACUCGGGUGAAGGAACUAGGCAAAAUGGUGCCGUAACUUCGGGAGAAGGCACGCUGAUAUGUAGGUGAAGCGACUUGCUCGUGGAGCUGAAAUCAGUCGAAGAUACCAGCUGGCUGCAACUGUUUAUUAAAAACACAGCACUGUGCAAACACGAAAGUGGACGUAUACGGUGUGACGCCUGCCCGGUGC
rnacentral:rRNA from 1 species